UAUAGCCGUAACUCCCUCCCCCUCUUUCUAGUUUUGUCGAGGUUACUUUGAUCUCUCUCUCCUCCGAUCACUCUUACCCCCCUUGGGCUGUCUAGCUGUUUAGCCAGCACCUCUGAUUACUUUCUGCUCUAACUAUUUGAGAAAGGUCGCAUCUUCUUCACUACAGUCAAGUCCAGUUGCUUUGUCAUCAGCAGAGUACUGUUGUUUUAAAAGGCAGAGUUGGUCUAUGGAGGACAUUGGAGAAUGGCUUUGCAAGAUAGAGUAAUGGAAGAAACAAAUGACAGGAAGAAUGCUGUUGAGGAGGCCUAUGUCUAUGACAUGAGAAACAAGGUAGCAUGCUUAGUGGCAAAAAAUAUCUGGCUUUUAGUUUUGGACUUUAGGUGGCUACAUUGCCGGGCUGGAGGAAUGAUUCCAGUAGAUGUGCAAAGGCGUUUACAUUGCCAAGAUGGUGAUCCCAUUGAGGAGCGGGAGCUGUAAUUGAUCAGCUUGUUCGUUGCAUUAAUAGCUACAGAGAAGCAGCAGUUUCAAAUGAUCAUAGAUUUGAUCACAUCGACAUCUCUGAAAAAGAGAAGGUCCUAAAUGAAUGUGUAGAGGCAGAAGCUUGGUUGAGAGAGAAAAAGGCUCCAACAGGAUUCGCUUCCUAAGUAUGUGAAUCCAGUUUUCUUGUCUGCUGAUGUGCUAAAGAAGACUGAAACACUGGACAGAUUUUGUAAACCAAUAAUGACGAAACCAAGGCCAGCACCAGCCAAGCCAGCUACUCCUGAGGCCCCACCAACCCCACCUCCUUGGCCAGUGAGCAGCAGCAACCUCAAGGAGUUGAUGCUAAUGCCAGCACUGCCGGCAGCAGAUGGCAGUGCUGAGACAUCGGCUUCUGCAGAACCAAUGGAUACGGAGACUUCUACAACUUCUGCGCAUGGUCCUUUCAAGUGGUUCUUGCCUCUUAAUGUUUUGUUUUUCAAGAAAGAAUUUGGUUCUUAUGUAUAAGUACUUUUAUGAUUCUAAGUCUAGGGAAAAACUGGGGGUUGGACCUAUUAUGAAAGCAUCUGGAGUGUGUCCGCCUCUUUCAGGUCUGUGAAACCUUUUCUGUUGUGGGUGGUCCGCCAAAUUUUAUAGUUAAUUAGGGUGGAUCUUCAGUAUCCGGUUUUUAUAUAUUUUUUGAGGGUUUUCAAGAUAUACUGUUGGUAGUCUUCCUGACAGUUGUAGGGGAAGAACAAGAGAAAUACAUUUUGAUAUGGUCCUAAGUGCCAUUGUUUUUA